rnacentral:ncRNA from 1 species
GUCAAGGUUCGCUAUAGACGCGAUUAAAAAGGGAACGGAGUGUAAAUCUCCGACUGUCUCGCAGCUGUGAGUUCCUUUAUCGCCGGUAGACAAGCAACCACUGAAGAACACAUUAACAUGCUAAGAACGUUAAUGACAACAAUGCUCUUUGGGAAGGAGUUUGCCGACGGAACGAAGUCAGAAGACCUGCCUUUGCAUA